ACAUCUCUGAAACACUGCCAACAGAAGAUCAAAAUCCAUCUGUAUUCGAGAUUUUGCUCCAAAUCGAUACACCAUCUUCCAAGGAAUUCACGGGUCACGCCUUCUAAAUUAGAACAGGAGACAGGGAGUUGUUCAUAAAAUACAAAAGAAAACCAACCGCCAUAACAUUUAGCCCACACAGACGGUGGCGUUGGUUGAAAUAGAAAGCUGCCACCCAGGAAACCAGGGAAGGGACUGCCUUAGGAGGUAACUACUGAGAGCCUAUCUGCCAUGAUUGAUAAAAAUCCCUUUUACUUUACAUUAUAGGAGAUCUUUUUACCGCCCAUUAUUAAAAUUUAAACAAGAACCACCUCCCUAAGAGGGUCUCUUAUAAAAAAAAAAAGAAAUAGGCAAAGAAGGAGACUCAAUUCAUCAAUCAC
rnacentral:lncRNA from 1 species